rnacentral:snRNA from 1 species
AGAACUCUCUCAAGGAGAAACGGA